rnacentral:lncRNA from 1 species
UGUGUUUGUGUGUGGGGGGUGUGUGGGAUGUGUGUGUGUGUGGGGAUGUGUUUGGGUAUGUGUAUGUGGGGUGUGUGUGGGGGCUGUGUGUAUGUGUGUGUGUGGGGUGUGGGGGUGUGUGUGUGGUGUGUAUGUAGGGUGUGGGGGUGUGUGUGUGGUGUGUAUGUGGGGUGUGGGGGUGUGUGUGGUGUGGGUAUGUGUAUGGUGUGUGUCUGUGUGUGUGUAUGUGUGGUGUGUGUGUGUCUGUGUGUGGUGUCUGUGUGUCUGUAUGUGUGUGUCUCUGUGUGUGUGUGUGUCUCUGUAUGUGUGUCUGUGUGUGGUGUGUGUGUGGUGUGUAUCUGUGUGUCUGUGUGUGUAUGUGUGUUGUGUGUGUCUGUGUGUGUGUCUCUGUGUCUGUGUGUGGUGUGUGUCUGUGUGUGUCUCUGUGUGUGUAUGGUGUGUGUCUGUGUGUGUGUCUCUGUGUGUGUAGGGUGUGUGUCUCUGUAUGGUGUGUCUGUGUGUGUGUCUGUGUGUGGGUGUGUCUCUGUGUCUGUGUGUGGUGUGUAUCUGUGUGUCUGUGUGUGUGUGAUGUGUGUCUGUGUGUGUGUCUCUGUGUCUGUGUGUCUCUGUGUGUGUGUGUGGUGUGUGUGUGUGUGGUGUGUGUGUGUAUGUGUUGUGUGUGUCUGUGUGUAUGUCUCUGUGUCUGUGUGUGGUGUGUCUGUGUGUGUGUCUCUGUGUGUGUAUGGUGUGUGUCUGUGUGUGUGUCUCUGUAUGGUGUGUGUCUGUGUGUGGGUGUGUCUCUGUGUCUGUGUGUGGUGUGUAUCUGUGUGUGGUAUGUGUCUGUGUGUGUGUCUCUGUGUCUGUGUGUCUCUGUGUGUGUGUGUGGUGUGUGUGUGUGUGGUGUGUGUCGUGUCUGUGUCUGUGUGUCUCUGUGUGGUGUGUGUCUGUGUGUGUGUGUGGUGUGUGUCUGUGUGUGUGUGUCUCUGUGUGUGUCUCUGUGUCUGUGUGAUGUGUCUGUGUGUGGUGUGUGUAUGUGUGGUGUGUAUCUGUGUGUCUAUGUGUGUGGUGUGUGUCUGUGUGUGUGUCUCUGUGUCUGUGUGUGGUGUGUGUGUGUGUGGUGUGUGUGUGUGGUGUGUGUCUGUGUGUGUCUCUGUGUCUGUGUGUGGUGUGGGUGUGUGUGUGGUGUGUGUGUGGUGUGUGUGUGUGGUGUGUGUCUGUGUGUGUGGUGUGUGUCUGUGUGUGUGUGGUGUGUAUCUGUGUGUCUAUGUGUGUGGUGUGUGUCUGUGUGUGUGGUGUGUGUCUGUGUGUGUGUGUGGUGUGUGUCUGUGUGUGUCUCUGUGUGUCUGUGUGGUGUGGGGGUGUGUGUGUGGGCGCAGGAGGCAGGGAGGGGCAGAGGUGCCCGUGGUGAGCCCCAUCUGCAUGUUUCCUUCCCCCGGCUCUGCUUCCAGCACCCCCGCCCCCUCCACCAGCCUGUCAGCACCUGCCCAGCCUCUGCAGUGGAAUAUAUUUGCCCAAUUAAAACGUAAUUAUGGGGGGACUUCCCCGGUGGUCCAGUGGCUAAGGCUCUGUGCUCCCAGUGCAGGGGCCCCAGGUUCGAGCCCUGGUCAGGGAACUAGAUCCCACAGGCCGCAACCAAAGAUCGCUGGUGCCGCAGCAAAGAUUGAAGACCCUGUGUGUGGCAGCUAAGACCUGGCAGAGCCAAAUAAAU